rnacentral:tRNA from 2 species
GGGCGAUUAGCUCAGUUGGUUAGAGUACUUGCUCGACACGCAAGAGGUCGGUGGUUCGAGUCCACCAUCGCCCACCA